CCUACGGGCGGCAGCAGUGAGGAAUAUUGGUCAAUGGACGAGAGUCUGAACCAGCCAAGUAGCGUGAAGGAUGACUGCCCUAUGGGUUGUAAACUUCUUUUAUAUGGGAAUAAAAUGUUCCACGUUUGGGAUUUUGUAUGUACCAUAUGAAUACGGAUCGGCUAACUCCUUGCCAGCAGCCGCGGUAAUACGGAGGAUCCGAGCGUUAUCCGGAUUUAUUGGGUUUAAAGGGAGCGUAGGUGGAUGGUUAAGUCAGUUGUGAAAGCUUGCGGCUCAACCGUAAAAUUGCAGUUGAAACUGGAAGUCUUGAGUACAGUAGAGGUGGGCGGAAUUCGUGGUGUAGCGGUGAAAUGCGUAGAUAUCACGAAGAACUCCGAUGGCGAAGGCAGCUCACUGGACUGCAACUGACACUGAGGCUCGAAAGUGUGGGUAUCAAACAGGAUUAGAUACCCCUGUAGUC
rnacentral:rRNA from 1 species